GGUGCUCAUAUGCUUAUGAUUGUUUUUAAUUUACAAGAUUAGAAAAAUGGGAUUCAUCUUAUAAUAAUGUUAAUUUUUAAGGCAUUUUUAUUAAAUUUUUUAAAAUUGUUCUCCUGAAAAUACAGAAAAAUUAGAGAAGGAAGCUGCUAAGUGUGCCCCACAAUUCCACAUCUGACCAGUGUAAACACAGCCCUGCUUCAAAGCAGACUGUUGCAGCAAGUCAGAAUUCUCACACUCUAUUACAGAAGAGGCCCAACUAAAAGAAACAGCAGGCCAGGCACGGCAGCUCACACGUGUAAUUGCAGCUACUAAUUUUGAGAGGCCGAGGCAGGCAGAUUACCUGAUGUCAGGAGUUCGAGACCAGUCUAGCUAACAUGGUGAAACGCUGUCACUACUAAAAAUACAAGAAUUAGUUGGGCGUGGUGGUGCAUGACUGUAAUCCCAGCUACUCGGGAGGCUGAGGCAAGAGAAUCGAUUGAACCCAGGAGCCUGAGGCUGCAGUGAGCUCAGAUUGUGCCACUGCCCUCCAGCCUGGGUGACAAAGUGAGACUCUGUUUCAAAAUAAAUAAAUAAAUAAAUAAAUGAGUGAAUGAAUGAAGCAGCAAUCCCAGCAAAAGAUCUCCAACAAAAAUCUUAGCAUUGUCUUCUUCUCUACUAUUAGAUAUGCCAGGUGAGAAAUGAGAUGCAGUUAGAGCCACUUUGACCUGAGUCUAUUUCUCAAAGUGUGGGCCCCAGAUCACCUGCAUAAGGAUCAUAUGAGGUGGGAGGUGGGAUGGUUCUUUAAGGUAAAGAUUCCUGGGCUCUAUCCUGACCCAGUGAAUGAGACUCUCUGAGGAUGGAGCCCAGGCAUUUGCUUUCCUUAAUAAGUUGUCCAUGUGAUGAUUUUAGACAUUCUGAAGUUUGAGAAUCACUCCAGCCAUAGCUGUCUCCUCUCCAGUGGGCCACAGGCACCACUGACCCCCCAGCACACAAACACAAGGGGAAUCUUUCUGCACUAGCAGCUUAAAGGCUUUUCUUGGAUGGUCUUUUUGGUAUAUUUUUAGUCAAGUAAUAAAAAUAAUGGCAAACAAGUGUUUACUCUGUGCUAGUCAUCAUCCAAAAACUUCUAUUUUUAUAUUUACUGACUCUUAUAAUAACCUUAUAAGGUAGGUUUAUUAUAAUCCCCAUUUUAUAGAAGAGUGAAUAAAAGCACAGAGAGGUUAAGUCACUGGCCCAACAUCACACAGCCAGGAUUCAAUUCCAGGCUGAGUCUGGUUUCAGAGUCCACACUCUUAACCUGCACCAGGCUAUUACAUACCUCAAUUUCCUGUAAUGUGGCCCCAAUCCCUUUGUCUCAUUCAUUUAGCAAAUACCUCAUCUUUGAAGACUAAUAGCAAUCCUGCCUCUGUGAAGCCUCUCCUUACUCCAUGAGGUAGAGUCUCUUUCUACUACGUGUGAGAGGGGAGAUGGAGACAUAGGGAAGUGGCAAAGCUAGAGAGGUAAUAAGGGCCAGGCAGGUCACAGAGAAUGUCUUUGAGGAAGAAGGUCAAAGUGAGGUGCCUCUCUGGGAGCUGCUGCGCUAAUCCAGGCGAGAAUGGUGGGAAAUGAAUGAUGGAUCACUGCAGCAAUGUGCCUCUUAGCCCCACCCGACACUGUGACAUAUACCACUUUUUAGCAUUGUCAUUAAAACCACAGUUCCGGCUGGGCACAGUGGCUCACGCCUGUAAUCCCAGCACUUUGGGAGGCCGAGGCAGGCGGAUCACCAGAGAUCAGGAGUUCGAGACCAGCCUGGCCAACAUGGUGAAACUCUGUCUCCACUAAAAAUACAAAAAUUAGCCGGGCAUGGUGGUGCGCGCCUGUAAUCCAGCUACUGAGGGGGCUGAGGCAUGAGAAUCGCUUGAACCUGGGAGGUGGAGUUUGCAGUGACCGGAGAUCAUGCCACUGCACUCCAGCCUGGAUGACAGAGCAAGACUCCGUCUCAAAAACAACAAAAACAACAACCACAGCAACAACCACAGUUCUUAGAAAAGCAUUUUAAGGUAAAGGUAACCUUCUGAUUUCAAUUGCCCGUUUGGAUCAACCAUCAGACCCAGUCAUGGAGAGGACGCAGAAAAUGGAAUCUAGGAAAGAAUGAGCCAGGAUCUUGUGGACCGAGCUGAAGCGUGAAUCUUCCUCGCCAGAAACACCCCAGCAACCAAUUACCCUGGACGUGACGCCGAGGCCCACCUAGUGGUCAGCCAUCUGCCUAGGCAGACAAUAAAGCUCAAUUUUUCUCCUUCUCCAUUA